AUUUAACGCUGGCGGCAGGCCUAACACAUGCACGUCGAACGAGUGGCUGACGGGUGAGUAAUGUCUGGGAAACUGCCUGCUGGAGGGGGAUAACUACUGUAAACGGUAGCUAAUACCGCAUACCAUCAUAUAUGCCCAGAUGGGAUUAGCUUGGGGGUGGGGUCACGGCUCACCAAGGCGACGAUCCCUAGCUGGUCUGAGAGGAUGCACAGCAACACGGGAACUGAGACACGGUCAAGACGCCUACGGGAGGCAGCAGUGGGGAAUAUUGCACAAGGGGCGCAAGCCUGAUGCAGCCAUGCGGCGUGUAUGAAGAAGGCCUUCGGGUUGUAAAGUACUUUCAGCGGGGAGGCGUUACCCGCAGAAGAAGCACCGGCUAACUCCGUGCCAGCCGCCGCGGUAAUAC
rnacentral:rRNA from 1 species